rnacentral:lncRNA from 1 species
CAGCUCGCAAGGAACUGGAAAUUUUGAUGCAGACUCCAUGGGAAUGCCUCCUAUCACACUACGAGUUUAUGAUAGUGUUCUCCUUCUUCCAGCGCAACACGGUUUUCUACUCUAAAGUGGAUGAGGGUCAACUCAAAACCCUAUACAGCCAACUGGUGUCCUUCUCCCCUGCGCGGAUACUCAUAAUAGAUGCCCUGAUUGCCGUCUAUAACAAAAGCAAAGCUCUCAGUGAGAACGCAGGUGACUCACUCGCCGUUCCUAGCGAGUUGUCCAGGGCUAUAACGCUGGCGUUAGGCAACAGCGUCCCAGAGCAUUACAUACACGAUUGCAUUUCGAGGUGCGAGUGGAAGACGUACUGCAGCAUGGUGCUUGGAGCGUUCGCUUCGGCUGAUGCAAUUCGCAGUGGAGCCCUCAAGUACGUGGCUAUCCUGAAGGAGAGCACUCGCAGUAGACGCUCCCUGCACACUAUCGUCUCUCUGGCCAUCACCGGGUGGACGGUGGAGCUCUCGGACCCGCCGAACAACACAAAGUGUACGUGCGGCAUCUGGGCCCAGGCCCUCGAGCUGAUUUCGUGCUUUGUGCCCGACGCGGAAACCAACUUGACGAUCCAGGACGAGACACGCAUAGAAGCUUACAUUUGCACUCUGUUAGACUUAAACCCCCCUCCUCAGUGCGUUGAUGGGGGCGGUGAUGGUGAAAAACACAGACCCUUGGAUUACGAAUACAUGUUUAGCAACCUGCGCGCGUCCGGCUUAGCCGCUGCUGAAAAUGACACGGACGAGGAGUAAAAUAAAUAAAAAGUAAUAAACAAGAGACCGCUCGCUCACCACUAGAUUGCCGCCCGCCAGCUCCACAGCACAGCACACGCCGGCGCAGGACCUGGAGCCGCCUCCGAAGGUUGGGUCGAGACACAGAUAGGCUCUGACCAUGGGUGCACGGGUCAUGUAUUCCAGAGUGAUGCUGUUAUUUGAGAGAAACUUGUUUAUGACCGAGGCCUCGAAGGGAGAGGUGUUGUCGGUCUUGGUGUCUGCCGAAGAUGUGCUGC